UAUGUUAUUGCAAAUUCUUGUGAUUUUAGCAGUGUUCUUUUUCAUUUCAGUUUUAAUUGAUAAGUGCUUAUUAUUAGGGAAAAGAAUGAGCAGCCGUGCAAGCCGCACUUUGUACGUAGGGAAUCUUCCUGGAGACAUUCGACAGAGAGAAGUAAAAGAUUUGUUUUACAAGUAUGGACCCAUUGUUGAGGUUGAUCUAAAAAUUCCACCAAGACCUCCAGGCUAUGCUUUUGUUGAGUUUGAAGAUGCUCGUGAUGCUGAAGAUGCUAUUCGUGGUCGUGAUGGGUAUAAUUUUGAUGGGUGUCGUUUACGAGUGGAGCUUGCUCAUGGCGGUCGAAGACAUUCAUCUCCAGGGGAUCGUUAUAGUAGUUACAGCGGUAGAAGUGGAAGCCGUGGUCCUUCCAGGCGCUCUGAUUAUCGUGUUCUGGUCACUGGAUUACCUUCAUCUGCUUCAUGGCAAGAUCUCAAGGAUCAUAUGCGACGAGCUGGGGAUGUCUGUUUUUCUCAAGUCUUUCGUGAUCGUGGUGGUAUGACAGGAAUUGUAGAUUAUACAAACUAUGAUGAUAUGAAACAUGCUAUCAAGAAACUUGAUGACUCUGAGUUUCGCAAUGCAUUUUCUCGGUCUUAUGUGCGGGUGAGGGAGUAUGAUUCAAGAAGAAGCUACUCCCGAAGUCCUAGUUGUGGCCCAUAUGACCGGAGUAGGAGUAGGAGCAGGAGCAGGACUCGGAGCCGCCAUAGUGACUGGAGCAGGAGCAAGUCUCCGGGCGCUAAAUAUCAUAGUCGCUCUCUGUCUGUAUCUCCUGGUAGAUCUGUUUCUCCACGCUCUCAUGCUGGAUCGUCUCCCAGAUCUUCAAGACCUGGCUAAUGGCGCGUGAACCGGCAGUCCACAAUUUGCUUAAAGGAUGAAUCGGAACUGGCUGUUCAUGGUUUGUGUGAAGGAUGAGCCAUGAACCAGCCCUUCCAUAGAUGGUCUGGAUUAUUGUUCAGGGGCAAAUGAGUUCUAGCUGGUUCACGUUUUUGGUUCAUUGUCAGUUCCAUGAACGCCUGGACUGCUGGCUCAGAUUCUAGGUGCUUCUGAACCUUAACCAGCCCCUCCCUUCAUGGAACCAGGCCUGGUCAUGAACAGGAACCAUGGAACCAUUGGCCAUGGCUGGCGGAGGUUUGACCAGGCCAAUUCACACUGUCCGCUGCUCGAACUGGCCUUUUGGUGACGUCUACAUGUUUGUCUAGCAACCUGGGGAUUGGAUGUUAAGAACUUGAUGUGGUGAUGUGCUCAUAUACCUGCAUCUCUUUGGUGGUUUGAGUGCUAGACUUGAUCCAGUGUGGAUGUGUCACAAUAUGAAAGCUGGAUUACUCUGAACUAAGUGCUAUUGGUACCAUCCCACAGAUCAGCUAUAGUUAUGAAAAUUGAAACUACUUCAGCAUCUAUCCCUUCCUGAACUUGGCGAAACUGAUAGGGAAAGUGUAGUUCUCCUCUUAUCUGGUAUGGAUGGGCAGGAUAUCCCAAACUUUGGCAACUCAGUUCAUGGUGCUAUAGUGAUUUUUCUUUCCUCAUGUUGAUAUAUUCUGGUGAACUUCUGGGAAAAGCCCAUCACCAAAGUGUGAGAUCCCGAUCAAGAUCAAGAUCCCCACUAGCAUCUCCUUCUAGCAAACAAGCAGGUAGAAGAGCAACCAAACGAGACAGAAGCAAAAGCAGAAGCAGUGGAUCUCAAUCCCAAUCGCCUGCUGUUAGAUCUGAUCGAAGCCGAUCGAUGGACUCUGUGGAUUCUAGAGAUCGUUAUUGAAGAUUUUCCUUGCCCUAGCUGUAAAUCGAUGUUAGUCAACAGCCAGAAACCUUUAAUGUGCUAGAAAUAGCUUAAAUAUACAUUGCACUCUGGACAAUUGUUUGAUCGUUUUAUGUAUUUGAGCUUAUGCUGGAGAGGCUAUUCAUGGUUUCACACAUUUCUUUCAAUAAGUCCUUUUCACUGUA